rnacentral:rRNA from 1 species
AACGUAGGAGACAAACGUUAUCCGGAGUUACUGGGCGUAAAGGGCGUGUAGGUGGUUGCGUAAGUCUGGCGUGAAAUUUUUCGGCUUAACCGGGAAAGGUCGUCGGAUACUGCGUAGCUAGAGGACGGUAGAGGCGUGUGGAAUUCCGGGUGUAGUGGUGAAAUGCGUAGAGAUCCGGAGGAACACCAGUGGCGAAGGCGACACGCUGGGCCGUACCUG